AAGGAAGAUAAUGACGGUACUUGAGGAGGAAGCCCCGGCUAACUACGUGCCAGCAGCCGCGGUAAUACGUAGGGGGCUAGCGUUAUCCGGAUUUACUGGGCGGAAAGGGUGCGUAGGCGGUCUUUCAAGUCAGGAGUGAAAGGCUACGGCUCAACCGUAGUAAGCUCUUGAAACUGGGAGACUUGAGUGCAGGAGAGGAGAGUGG
rnacentral:rRNA from 1 species